rnacentral:lncRNA from 1 species
AUGCAGGUGGGUCCGUUCGUGGGUGAUUUGAAAGGUGAGAAGAAGGGCAAAAGGAUGAGGGCCGAGGUUACCUGGGGAGGAGAAAUUUUAAGAAACGGGAGGAGCGUCCCCCGGCGUCAUCCUUCCUGUCUUCUUGCCCCACCCGGCCCCAUGCAGGAGGACAUGCAGGCAGAUGGAGAAGGAACCACAGGUCCCAUGGUCCUGGAGAAGGAGGAGGAGGAGGAGGCCAGACCCUGGCAGCCUCCACCGCCUCGCCCGCCGUGCCGAGAGAAGGCCUUCAUCUGGUGCUCCCGUCAGGAGAAAGAGGAAGCCCUCCGGCGACUGGCGGAGAUCCAGGCUGAGGGAGGGCGCCGGCACCAGCGGGACAAGGAGCGCCAGAGCCUACGGUUCCAGGAGAGGCUGUCGAUUGCCAAGCAUCGGAGAAUGCAGGACGAUCUUUUGGGAGGCAGCCCCUCUGAGCAAUGGCUGCUCUCUGCGGCCCGUCCAGGUCAGGACCACGCCGGACAGAAAAGGGCCGUGAAGCAUCACCUGGAGCAGGUGAAGCGAGAAAGGACCUACGUCAUGCAGUCCAAGAGAGAGAGAAACACGCUCCGGUUCAAGGAACUCUUGAGCCCGCUGGUGGCCCCCAGGGAGGAGAGUCCCCAGCCAGGAUGGCCAGCAGACCUAUGAGUCCAGAAGGCCUGCCUCUCGGACGUGCCGGAUGUUUUCUGCAGGGAGGAGGAUGCGAUGAGCAAGGACCCCCGCAACAGAGUGGAUGCCGUUCUCAUGAGAGAUGAAGCGGAUGGCGUAUUCGUCUGUGGAGGCAAUAGCAGGGCGGUCAUGCAGCCUGGGCAGACGCCAGAGGCUAAGCUGACCUCAGCUGGGGGGGCAGCCAGAGGCUCUGCGGGGUUCUCCCGUUGGCGUCCCCUAGAACUCAUCUCUAAUACAAUCCAGAAGGGCUGCCUCUCAGUCAUGCUGGAUGUUUUCUGUAGGGAGGAGGAUGCUAUGACCAGCCCUGGCGGGACCCACUGCUUCAGGUGGCAAAUGUGGAGCAGCAUGCAGAGCUUGGGCGGGGGGGGGGAAUCCCCUUUUUUGACUCCAGAAUCCUCCUACUAGCACAUCCAGUGGGGUACAGAAACCAUCAUCCCCAGAAUUCCCUACCACAACAGAUUCAUGGCUUGGGACGUAGGGGCACCUUACCCGAAAAGUAGCCAUCGCUACUGUUAAGGCUUUGGUCCCAUUCCAGAAGGGGAGAAAAUUCCACCCUCAUGCUCAGCGGGAUUUGGACCCAAAUGUCACUAGUAAAAGAUGCUUCUCUUCCACAACUUUUUUUUAAAAAAAAACUCGAGUAAAUGUGUAAGAAAUCCAUUUUCCCACUGGAGUUUCUUUUGGAAAGCUAUCGAUCCAAACCCUGCUGAGUUGGUUUGUUUUUUCCUCUCGCACAUGUAAACAACAAGACAGAAAUCACGGCAGCUACUUGGCGCUCGUAAAUGACCGGGCACGCAACCAGCACCGUGUGGUUAGCGUCAAGUUGCCGUUGUAUUUUUGUUUGUACACAGGCCUAAUUAAAAAUGAAUCAAAACAAAAGAACGCGGUUCCUGUUGAGCAUUCUGUUGAGCUGACUGGAUAGCUCAGUGGUUAAGGUCUCUGGCUGCACAGCCAGAGGUGGCGAGUUCGGUUCUCCACAGGG